UAAUACGUAGGAGGCGAGCGUUGUCCGGAUUUACUGGGCGUAAAGCGCGCGCAGGCGGCACUCCAAGUAUGGCGUGAAAUCUCCCGGCUCAACCGGGAGGGUGCGCUGUAGACUGGGGAGCUAGAGGACGGUAGAGGGGGGUGGAAUUGCUGGUGUAGCGGUGAAAUGCGUAGAGAUCAGCAGGAACACCCGUGGCGAAGGCGGCCCCCUGGGCCGUACAUAUACUCUCCCCUUGUGGGAGAGUUACCUGACGCUGAGGCGCGAAGGCUAGGGGAGCGACCCGGAUUAGAUACCCGGUUAGUCCUAGCAGUAAACGAUGGCUACUAGGUGUGGGGGGUGUUGACCCCUCCUGUGCCGAAGCUAACGCAUUAAGUAGCCCGCCUGGGGAGUACGGUCGCAAGACUA
rnacentral:rRNA from 1 species